rnacentral:rRNA from 1 species
GUCGAACGGCAGCACAGAAGAGCUUGCUCUUUGGGUGGCGAGUGGCGGACGGGUGAGUAAUGUCUGGGAAACUGCCCGAUGGAGGGGGAUAACUACUGGAAACGGUAGCUAAUACCGCAUAACGUCGCGAGACCAAAGUGGGGGACCUUCGGGCCUCACACCAUCGGAUGUGCCCAGAUGGGAUUAGCUAGUAGGUGGGGUAAUGGCUCACCUAGGCGACGAUCCCUAGCUGGUCUGAGAGGAUGACCAGCCACACUGGAACUGAGACACGGUCCAGACUCCUACGGGAGGCAGCAGUGGGGAAUAUUGCACAAUGGGCGCAAGCCUGAUGCAGCCAUGCCGCGUGUAUGAAGAAGGCCUUCGGGUUGUAAAGUACUUUCAGCGGGGAGGAAGGCGGUGAGGUUAAUAACCUCGCCGAUUGACGUUACCCGCAGAAGAAGCACCGGCUAACUCCGUGCCAGCAGCCGCGGUAAUACGGAGGGUGCAAGCGUUAAUCGGAAUUACUGGGCGUAAAGCGCACGCAGGCGGUCUGUUAAGUCAGAUGUGAAAUCCCCGGGCUUAACCUGGGAACUGCAUUUGAAACUGGCAGGCUUGAGUCUCGUAGAGGGGGGUAGAAUUUCC